rnacentral:rRNA from 1 species
UACGAAGGGGGCUAGCGUUGUUCGGAUUUACUGGGCGUAAAGCGCACGUAGGCGGAUUGUUAAGUCGGGGGUGAAAUCCUGGAGCUCAACUCCAGAACUGCCUUCGAUACUGGCGAUCUUGAGUCCGGAAGAGGUGAGUGGAACUCCUAGUGUAGAGGUGGAAUUCGUAGAUAUUAGGAAGAACACCAGUGGCGAAGGCGGCUCACUGGUCCGGUACUGACGCUGAGGUGCGAAGCGUGGGGAGCAAACAGG